rnacentral:rRNA from 1 species
UACGAAGGGGGCUAGCGUUGCUCGGAAUCACUGGGCGUAAAGCGCACGUAGGCGGAUUGUUAAGUCAGGGGUGAAAUCCUGGAGCUCAACUCCCAGAACUGCCUUUGAUACUGGCGAUCUCGAGUCCGGGAGAGGUGAGUGGAACUGCGAGUGUAGAGGUGAAAUUCGUAGAUAUUCGCAAAGAACACCAGUGGCGAAGGCGGCUCACUGGCCCGGUACUGACG